UAUACCUAAAUUUUAUAAGUUAGUUGAAAGAGAAAUCAGCUGCUUAUAUUUGUGACAGUGCUUAUCGCAAAGGGACCCUUUUUUUGGACUGUAGUGUCUGACUGCUACCCUGCUACAAAUAAUAAGCUAGGCCUGAAAUGACAUUAAUAAUAAGUAGGACAGGAAAGAGAGAAAGAGAAGUGGAGAGGACAGACUUUCAGAAAGUCAUUUUUUUCUUCGCUGGAAUCAAAUAACUAUUUUUAUGUAUAUGUGAGAUACUCCUAAAUGCUAAUUGAUUCCUCCCCCAAAAAGCCUAGCUGACUUGAUAAUGUCAUUGGAUACAGGGUGAUGCUUUCUUCAGAAUUCUAUUACUAUAAGGGAAAUACUCUGGUUUUGAAAAAGAACAUAUUGAUGAGAAAAAAUUGAAAUCCCUCUGUGGCCUUCCUGUCCUUCUUGAUUGGUUCUGCAAUACUUGGAUAGCAAGAAAAUAAACACUUGUGGCCUCCCUAAUCUGAGGAACCCCCACAUUGGGUUAAAAGUUGUCAAAGCUGUGUUUGGCACUGACUUUUCCAGUCUUCAAUGUAGGGAUUAAGAGAAUGACUGGAGCAUGGUGUACAUCACCAAAUCCCUUAAAUAUGUGUAUCUUCUUUUGCCAAACUGUGGAUGGUGUUCUUACUGUGAGUGUUUUAUGUCUAGUCUUUCUCAGAAAAGUACCAUGCUCCUUGUCAGUAGCCUAUGUCCUGUCGCUGUUUCCACGGAUGCCUUACGCUAUUUAGGGAGGUGAUCCUGAGAAGUCUUAGCCCAGCUGUGAAGAGGAGUUAGUGGGUAAGGAGGACUGACACGCAGCUGUCUUCAUGAUUAUCCAGGUUCGAAAUCUGUGUCAUUGAUGAUACUCCAGUUAUCUGUAAGUAAAUGACUGCUAUAAGUUUAAGGGAAGAUACAGGUCUCCCUAUUUUUUUGUCUGUCUUCUCCUUACUUUCCCAUCCAUCCAGUGCAUCAGACAUUUAUAAAGAAGGAAAUUAUUCUCCUUUUAGGGAAUAGACCUUCUGUCUGGUCUUUCUGAUUCUUUCAGUGUCCACUGGAAGUUUGCACCAUGCUGUACUCUAGAGACAGAAUUAAAGCUUGUAAACAAACUUCAUAACUUUUAUCAGCAUUUAAAUUGCAUUUUGUGACUUCUUGGUUUGACAGAAUGAUGUCAGGUAGCAGGUGUACUUCCCCUGCCUUUUUUUUUUUUUUUUUUUUAAAAAAUCUUCAAAUAUUUCCCCAAAGAGAAGUAUUUGGUAAUAGCUUUAGGAGAAGGAAAUGUGUAUUUCACAGAAUUACAAAAGGGUCUACAAUCACUUAUUUUCAGAGAUGUCUAUUGUGAGAGUCCUAGUAUUUUAUACGAAGUAUAACUUCAUAUAGAGCCUUAGAUUUAUGAUAGAAGUGGAAACACAUUUAAAUAUUAUGGUUGUUUCAGUGCUUCAUGGAGCUGUGUACAUGCAUAACCUGCAUGAAUUGGCAUCCUCUGUUUCAAUAAAGUGUAAUGAACGGGCAAAGCAGUCUGCUUGGAUGCUACACAGUGAGGCAUCAGUGACCUCAAACAGUUUGGGAUAGAAGAGUGGAGAGACUGGUAGUAAGGCUGAAGGACAAGGAAUGACUAAUGGUUUUGGCAUACUUCCUAUUUUUGCACGAGUUUACAUGUGGCAGAACACGUCUGGCGCUUUUCAUCACAAGCAAGUAUGAUUUGAUGUGAAUAGAAGGAACAGAGUCUGACUUUAAUGAGAAUUUAGCUUUUAUGCAGGUCCUAGCUGCAUAAGGGCUCACGUGAGCACAAGGUCAGACUGUGCCUCAAGAUGUGUACUCCCAUGAAACUCCAAGGUAAGAGCUAGAGGCUUGAUCUUUCCUUUGGAGGUACAAAAACCUGUCAAGACCCUGUAGACAGUAAUGACAGUCGGCUGCUGCGCACGUACCUGCUCACUGGCCAUUUUACAAACUACUGCCGCAGCAGUUGGAGUAUCAAAAGAUGGAGGCUCUACAUCUUUUCUUAAUAGCUUUCAUUGUACAUUGUCUAUUUCCCUAAUUAAAAUUUCAUUAUCGGUAUUUCUGUAGCGAUGUGUUAGGGCCUAAUGCAGCUCUCCCACAGCCUGCCCAGCACAGAUAUGGAUCUAACUGGAAGGUUUUAAAGAAAAUCUCACUUUCCUGAGUACAAAAACUAAUCAAAACAAAAGAAUUUAUAUUUAUUGGCAGUAUGUCAACUUUUCACCACAUCUUUAUUUCGUAUCUAGUUACUUCUGUGCAAUUUACAUGUUGAGGUAUCUGAUUUUUGCAGAUACAGAGUAAGAUCUAGGUAAACCUUCCUUUUCUAAACUUGUUUUAUUAGUACGAAAUAAUCACUUAUGUAACUUCCAUUUUAUUUUUUUUUUUUAUAUUUACAGUGGGUUUGCUAAAAUUAUGUAUGCUUGAACUUGGUUAUUUAACUUAUCUAAUUUGGGCUCAGAUAGUGAGGCAAAACUGGUGUAAUUUCUAAAUGUCAAGAAGGACGUAUGCAGCUUGUGGAGCUGGUAAGUGUGAAAAAGCAGGCUGAAAAGACAUUACUUGCUUUGAAAAUCUGUGAUUUGAGUUGGCAAUAGCAAUGAAUCUGCUGUACGGAAAGGGGCAGAUUUUUUUUUUUUUUUCCUUGGGUUGCUAAGUAGAUGGAAUUGUAUUCAUAGAAUAUCUGAAGUAGGAAGGGACCCAUAAGGAUCACUGAGUCCAACUCUCUGCUCCAUGCAGGACUACCUAAAACUAAACCAUAUGACUAAGAGCGUCAUCCAGAUGCUCCUUGAACUCUGACAGGCUUGGUGCCAUGACUGCUUCCCUGGGGAGCCUGCUCCAGUGAUCGACCACCCUCUCAGUGAAGAACCUUUUCCUAAUGUCCCAUCUGAACUGCCCCCUGCCGCAGUUUCACAGUCAUUCACAACUGUGGCUUUUGUCCUACUUCCGUGUUUCUUAUCUAAGUAGGAAUGUUCUUGCAAACCGAUGUGAGGUUGGAAUACGUGCAGGACUUCAUGGCCCCUGUUUUAGAAUAGCUGCUGCUCCGUAUAGGCUCGUUUUGAUCUGCAAUGAGAGGCUAUUUAGGGAUGUCCUUACAAGGUGAACUUUUAUAUGGUGCUCUUAAGAAACUCUCUGUAAAGGUGUUGUGCACUUUAUAGACUAGAGUGUUACAGAAUUAGCUGGUAGCAGUACUUUUCUGAGCUGUUUCUAAGUGAUACUUACUUAAAUUCAUGUUUACAUUUUUAAAGAAUUGGAUUUUUCAAAAGUGCCAAGCAGCUGCAAAUCUUUAUGGCUCCAAUGCCUACUCAGGGCAGUGAACAUUUUAUGGCAAAUAGUGAUUGCAGCGUGUUGCCCAAUAUAGUUUCACAUCUCUCUCUUAAGCUUGACAUCACUGAGUUCAAUUUCAUAAGAAGGUGUUAGUAGAAGACUAAAUAAGGGAACAAUUCACUUAAGUUGUGUGCCAAGGAAUAAAAAUAUUCAUGCCGAAUUUUUACAAUAGUGAUCUGCAAAGUUUAGAUUAAUGAAAAAUAUUCUUCCCAGAAUUAAUAUUUAGGCAAUGCAAUUUUGCUGAAGGUAUUUGUGUGUGUGUGUGUAAGUCUGAGAAUUAUACAAGAGAGUUUAAAAACAAAAGGCUAGACUCUCCUUUCGGGACAAAAGAAGAGAAAACACAGAAUCCUACAUGUUCCGUGACUCCUAGCUGAUUUUUGAUAGGCAGAAUGAUCCAGAACAUAUAGAAACCCAAGAUGUUACCUGCUAGGGUAUUAUGUUUGCAGUGUUUAUAUACUAACCUUCUGUCACCUUCUUCGGUACAAAAAUUAGCCUCACGUUAGUCUUCUUACAGUGUUAUUUUCAAUUUUUUUCCAAACUGGAGGAUAAGUUCAAUAAGUCAAGAAAAUACUGUCAUAUAGAGUAUUAGGAUAAUAGGAACAGAAGCACAGAUGCCAUAUUUAAAUCUAGAAGGAAAAAAAUCUUAUUUAAGCCCCAAAUACGAUAUCUGCGUCUGAAAUAUUGGACUGCUCACAUAUAAAGCAAUGAUUUCUUUUUCAGUUUUGCACAGUUGGUGAUAUGAAACCAGUGAUAAACACUGAAAUAGAAAAAACUACCACAACAGAUUUUCUCUAAAGCUGGAAGUAUCAUUCAAGUCUUGACACAGAGUCUCAAAGAUGAAAUUCCAAACCUAUUAACUCAUUAGAAAAAUGAAAUGGUGGGAGCCUGAUAUUUGUGUGUCACGUCCCCAGCCUUUUAGACAGAUACAUUUUGUUAGCAUAUUUGAAGUAUCAUGAGUUCUUUUUAGGUUAAAAGAGAUGCCUGGUAUGCCUUGUUUUUUCUGAUUAAUAUAUCCUGAGGUCUAGCUUGCUUUAACCUCUUUGCAAGUAAGCUGUCGUAACUAUGUUAAUUCUUGCUACUUGUUUUGUAUUACAUGAAAUGUAAUGGUUGAACCUGAAAUGUCAUCUCUACCUUUUGACUUUGUUCAGCGUUCUCAAGGCUAAUACAUAGAUAAAACAUACAAAUAAGCAACUUGUAACUAUAGUGUUAAGUGGUGUUCUGCAUUCUUUAUGCUAGGCUCCAUUCUGUAUGCCAAUACCCAGCAUCCACGUGAAGUCAAUGAGCAUUUGGUCGGGUAGGAGCACAGGACUGGGGUUUUGUAGUCCAGAAGUAAUCAUCAAACUUCUUUGUAUUUAUGCACUAGUCUUUUCAGAAAAAUAACACUGAAUGAAUACAUAAUGAAAUUAUGGUGACCUACGGGUCUCCUUUACAAUCAGUGCAUGCCCUAAAAUACUGGUUUGUAACAUCUGUUUUAUACUAAAUGUCGGUGUUCAAGUGAGCCUUGUUAGAUAUUUGACAGUGACAGACAACAAUAUUUAUAAACCUGUUACAAUAAAUGCCUUUUUAGUCUAAGAAAAUGUGUGGUAUGGCCUUUAUAAAAGGGAAAAAAAAGGUGUCUCUGAGGCUAAAGAAGUCUCUGUUGUUGCCUUGUGUUAACAAUUCCUUCCUGUGCCAUGGGCUUGAAUUUAUUACCCUGAGUAAUUCUGUUUAAGUCAGUGAGGCUGGUCACAGCAGUGAAUUAACAGAUGUGGGGGAUUAUUUUUUUUUUUUAUUUCACCGUCAGAAUCACAGUGAAGCUGUAAAUAAAUCUAAUAAUCUGUGUGUUAACAAAGUAUUAACCCAAUUGUCAUGUAGUAAGUAGCAUGUAGAGGUUCCUGUGGUGACCUCUAUGCUGUGUUUUUUGUGACCUAUUUGAUGCAACUAUAAUCAAGCUGCCAAUAUUACAAAUUUGGGUGUUCUUUAUCUACUGUCAUCGCUGCCCUAUUGCUUGGCCAGGCAGAGCAGCUCCUGAAGCAGUCAGAAGAGCCUUUUACAGAAAAGAAGAAAAUGAAUUUAUAUUAGAGAUUGGCAACAGAGAGGAGGAAGUCCCAUGAUACUCGGUGAGCGAAAGCAGCUGUAGAAGUCUCUCAAGCAGGGGUGCUUCAACUUCUGAGAUCUCUCAGGUUUGAGCAGGUAUUUUAGCUCCUUGCUGGUGGACUGAGAGGAAGAGUUGGCUCAAGGCACCAAGAAACGUAUUGCUUUUACACUGUGUGCUCUGUUUUUUGUGUUUGUAGUAUUGCUACCCUGUAGUUGCAGGCUGCAAGAAAGGUCGCAUCUUGUGUGUGUCAGCUACUUGUGCACUAUAUCCAAGUGAUCAUGAUCAAUAGAGGCCUCAAACAGACUCAACAGAGGGUCUUAAAAUAUAUUCCGUUUGUCUUGUGCCACGUAACAUUUGACAGAUUGGUAAGGCGUUUUGUCACAAGCCCGACUAAGCCAAAAUAAUCUUCUGUUACUGAGAUCUCUGUAUAUCCAGCUCAUGUUCCACGUGCGCAGCUGCCAUGUGGGCUAAACCCUGCGAGAUAGUGCUCUGGAUUUUGUUCACCCCAAGGUCUUACUGGUGCUGUGUUUUGCAUGCUGGUCCACUGAGUGAACAUCUUUGUGUUUGGUGCUGUUGACUGCUCUGCCUUACGACCAUGCAUUUCAUUCUGCUUCUGAACUGCACAAAAUUAAUAGUUGUCUAUGAGAAUCAUUCAAGUAUAGCGCUGCUGAUAAUACCAUAUACUUUAACUGAGAUAUUGAACAAAGUUGUUUCUGCAGUAAAGUCAGUCACUGCUGUAAUCACUGGGUACAAACAGAGCCAGUGUUCCCAAGAGCUGGUUUUCCUUCUCUUUUUACCACUAUUUUGUAAAUGACACUUAAUUUGGAGUCAUCUCAUCUUAGCAGUUGAUCUGCAUAAAAGAUUAUUUUUUUUCUUUAGCCCCAAAUAGAAAGGUAUGUGCUGAUGACCUAAAGUUUAUAUCUUAAUGAUAAACUUUAAAGAUUACAUCUUUUUUAAUUUGGUCCUGCUACUGUUGAAACUAUAGUAGUUUACGUUGAGUAUUUUUCAUUCAUCUGAAGAGGAUAUUAAAUUGAGGUGAAUUAAUGAAGUGAGAUUAACCUCAACGGAACGUUCACAAAUGUUCAGUAACACAGGUUAAAACAACCAAACAAGAAGUUUCUCAAGCAGGGGUAGAGAGUUAUUUUCUAAAUACACAGGCCAGUGCUGACACCUUGUGGCUUCGUUACUGAGUUGUUUCGUAGUUUCCUGUGGUUAUUUUGGGUGUAAAUCAUGAUGAACUUGUUGUUGCCAGCGUUGUCUGUCUCCUCUGCUUCCUGGCCACCUCAGUACCCAGUAUUUUGGUGUCACAUGUAAGACAGCUUUGGGCUGUGUUGACUGCACAUCGAGUGAAUAAGAACUAGGGGUGUCUGGGAGCUUUUGAAGAGGACUCAAACAGCUUCAGUUCAGUGCACAAAAUCACAGGUGCUAGUGCAGCAGCAGACAGCAGUUACGAGCUCCUCUCUUACUAGUUAUGCCGCAUUUUAUAUUUCCCUCCACAUAGGAGAGCACCGAGGACUGUCAAUACUUAGCACAUGUGUACUUUUAGGCACACACACGUUUUCUACAUUGACACAAAAGCAUUCCUUUGCUGCCCUCUUCACCCUUGAAGAAUUACUGGUAGCAAAACUACAUCCAAAGGGACUGUUGGAGAAUUUCUGGUAGUAUAGGACCCUGAGGUGCACUAUUUAUCUAUGGCCAUAAAAAUGCCUAAACCACAAUUUAUCAGUGCAAUUUAUACCUAAAUGGGUGUCUAAUCUAAAAUCACAUAACUUUUCAAGUCUUAACAAAACCAGCUGUUAAGGCUGCAGUCGCCAUUUGAGAUCUGUUGUGGAAUUAAGUUUUCAGAUCUUGAGGUGUGUCUUGUGAAGAUCACGCAUCCUCCCUCAGCUGUUACCUCAGAGAUUGUUUUCUGAUGUUUAUGGUCAUGUCCCUGUUCUUAAGUGUUCAUGUUGUGGUAAUACAGGAGUUAGAAAUCUUUACUGCAUUGUGGGUUUGUUGUUUGGGGUUUGGGUGCUUGUUGUUGUUGUUGUUUUUAAUUUUAUUUCUGGUAUGUUUAGUUGUUUAUAAUGAAUAGUGAAACACAGAACUGGAAAGGAAAGGUUUUCUACAGUAGGGACCAAAUCUUCAGUUUAUGUAAAUCAGUAUUUAUAGCUUCACUCAAGUCAAAGAGGUGACAUUAAUUUCUAUUCCUGAAGAACGUGACUGCCUGAGUCUGUUAAGAAAAAUCAAAGGAAUAAGGAUGUGCCUAUGAAGAUUUGAUUUGCUGGCAUCUCUCUUUAUCUAACAGGAGUAUUUGUACUCUCAACUCCCCCCUGUGUAAAUCUUAAUUGACACUUGCUAAUUGAACUUUAAUACAAUAAAUGUAUUAUAAUGA